CCUGGUGGCUCAGCGGUAAAGAAUUUGCCUGCAAUGCAAGUGACCGGGGUUCGAUCCCUGGGUCAGGA
rnacentral:tRNA from 1 species